rnacentral:sRNA from 1 species
AAAAAAAAAAUUUGGAUGUAGCAAAGCAAAGCGGAUAUCCGGCAAAUAUCACACAAAAAUCCGGAUAUUCGUAUUUCUGGAUAUUCGGAAAUUUUCGGAUCAAAGCAAAUAAUAAAAUUAAGUAUUCGAUUAAAACGAAUCGAAUAACAAAUAUCCCAAAUUUUCCGGAUAUUCGCUUCGUGCCCAGGCCUAGUGUUCACUACGCAACAUUAAUUAGCCAACAAGUGAGAUUUACGUGAUGUAAAAA